rnacentral:rRNA from 1 species
UAAUGACUCUCGGCAACGGAUAUCUCGGCUCUUGCAUCGAUGAAGAACGUAGCGAAAUGCGAUACUUGGUGUGAAUUGCAGAAUCCCGUGAACCAUCGAGUCUUUGAACGCAAGUUGCGCCCAAAGUCGUUAGGCUGAGGGCACGCCUGCCUGGGCGUCACGC